rnacentral:lncRNA from 1 species
CCGGGUGGUCCAUAUUUGUCGGAGUUUCGGGUUAAGGGUCUUGUUGAGCUGGCGUUCGAUGUAGACAUCGUAGGAGGAGUAUCCUGGUCGGAUCUUGAGGUCCGGGGAGGAGUUUGUCGGGUCUUUUUUCAAGGUAUGACGUGGGGUUUGUAGAUAGAUAAAGGCUAAGAAAGAUAGAGAGAAGAAGAGAGAAAGGAUGAAGGGCUUGACGAUGAGGGGUAGUUUUGGCAAUUCACCUGGUAUCAUGUCUGCAUGAAAAAAUGGCUCUCAGCAUGGAACGAAGAACUGGUUAGAUGUUUAUGUGUUCUUUAGAGAGAGAAUUCACAUACAUACAUGUUUGCAUAUAUAUAUAUAUAUAUAUAUAUAUAUAAGGACUUGUAGUAUCUCUCUAGAUCUGGCAAAAGCGAAAGAACCCCUAACAUAAAUAUAUAUAUAACUUGGGGGCAAAUGAAAGAAGCAUCGUCUUUCUCUAUACUUUUUACAUUUUUUAAGCUAACCAAAAAAUUUGACAAAAUCGUGUUUAGUAAUUUAUAUUUAAAUAUGCUAGAAUUUUUUUUAAAAAUAAGUUAUUCUUACGUGUUUUAUUAGCUUAACAUAUAAACAAAGUACAAUUUAAUAGGGAUUACAAGGGAGUGGAUCCGACGUCCAAAACAGUAAGCUCAUGAAGAAACACAGACUCAAGAAGAAAUUCGAAUUAUAUUUCUUAUCAUCGUACACCUAAUUAGAUAUCUGACAAGAUCAUGAUCGUUGAUGAUUCUAGCGUUUGAUCAAAUUUAAUUCAUCUGAUCAUCUAUUUCUCCAUUGAUCUAUCCUAAGCUCGUAACUCAAAAAUGAAUUUGGUAAAGCCUCGGUGCUCGACUUCUUGGUAGUAGGAGGAGUUGCUUCUUGAUUUUCAGCUUGCUGUCAAUUAGGCCUUUAAUUGGGUCUUUUCCUUCUGUAGGCCGGGAUCCUUAUUUGAGUUAUAUUAUUGAUCAAAUUUUAUUGUAUUUAUUGAAAUCAUAAAUUUUUACUUAUGGUAAAAAAAAUAUUGUAAUAUUACACAAAUAUAUUUAAAUAAAAAGUUACUUGCAAUUUACAAAUAAUUGGUCGUGAUGAUAAGAUAAAUAUAAUAACGUGGGCAAAAGAACCAAAAGAAAGAAAAAAGGAGACGUAUCUUCAAGAAUAUUUUACUUUUACAUAUUCCAAAAAUAUACUGUCAUCCAAAUUAAACAACUAAUCUAAGGUCAAUUAUUGGUGAACGUUAUACUACAAAACCCAGAGUAUAAUUUUUUCACAAGCAAAAGUAAAAUAAAAUGAAAAUUAUAAUAUCUCCAUUUACAAUCCCAAUUUUAAUUAUUUAACAAACUUUAAUGUUGGAAAUCCACCCUGUUUAGCUAAUGAGGUAGGACAACGCGAGAUGGCUCGGGAAAUCUUUUUCAUACAUAAACCAAGGUUUGAACGGAUGAAUGGGAACCCAAGUGCCAAAAAUGAAAGGUGAGAAAAUAUCGUCAAAAGAUUCGAGUGCCCAGCUAAAAUUUUCCAUUUUUGCAAAGUACGUGAUUAUAAGUUGGCAUCUCAAUAAAUGUGUGGAUAAAAAAUGGACAAUAGUUGCAGGUUACUACAAAAUGUGUGAAUAAAAAGUAUAUUUGAUCAGUUCUCAAACAUGCUCUACUUCUAGGAUUGGAUCAUCGUACCACAAAAGGGAAUGACAAAGCAGAAAUUAGGAAAUGAAUGGCUUAGAAGCCUAGUGCUGUGCAAAAUAAGACAUCGAAAGCAACCAUAGAGGCAUAGACCACGCUAUAUGAAGUAAUGAAAAUCGCAACGAAAAACAAGAUUUAAAAGUGAAGAAAUUAACAAAUAGAGUUAAUCGCAGAAACACGACGUUUUAUUAAUCGACAAUAUAGAAAGAAAUACAAUAACUCAGUAAUUCUUACUUGAACAAAAUUGAAAGAGAAUACCACUAUUUAUAUGUACAGUCAAAAGAUGGUUGAAAUUUUGCAACUAGGACACGUGAUAUCAAUAUAAAUUUUACUACGCCCUCGAGGUAUAGUUUGGUAGUGCAAAAGACAGAAGUGAGGUUAUUUCACGCCUUGCUAGCAAUUACAAUGUGUAGAUUCGAUUCCUGAAACAUGGAAUUGAACUUCUUGUAGACGCAGUAUGCAAACAGCUCUUGUUCCUUAGCCUGUUGGGGCACAUCCCGCUAUUUACCUUUCUUACAAAACUUUAGGGACAAGGUGGUGAGACCCUCAAGGUUGGGGUUCAACCUUUUUUAAAAUAAAUUUUAUUGCUUCUUUAAUGACACUAAUCUUUUAAUAUUCUUCUCGGAAUUAAAUUUUUUCAGAUAAUUCAUCUUUUAAUUUUAUUUGAAAGUGUCUAAUUAUUUUCCUGUUUGUUUCUCAUUUUUUUCUCAUUAAAAUGAAAAAUAUAAUCGUUAUUCAUCACAUCAAACCACUAAAUUUGAAUUUCUAUCUCUUGUAUGUGGUCCAUAAUAAUUAUAUUUUUCAUUCUCAUUUUUACAAAAAUAGGAAACAAAAGCCCCCUAAUCAUGACGAAACCUUGCAAAUAUUUUCAAGUUUUGUUGUCUCUCUUUCAAUUAAAAAGAGAUUGAAAUUUCAACUUUUCUUCCUACCUCUUUUUUUUUUUUUUUUUUUAUGCGCACAUUAGAGGAAUAAAGAUAAAGGUCUACGAAACCAUGCAGAGCUACUAAAACUAGGAGUAUCCAAUGCCAUCCUAUUCCCCAUAUUUGAAUAAGCCAUAAAUACAUCACAUUCAUACCCAUUGUAAUAUCGCAUGCGUUUUUUAUUGGAUAAAGAUAGAUUUCAUGGAAUCCAUACCGAGAUGGACUCAGACAUUUUAAAAUUAGAGGGACACAGUUAAAUCUGUAAAAAAAAGUUGUAAAAAAUUAGACUUAGGCUAUGUUUGAGACAUAUUUUUUCAAAAAAAGACACUCUUAAACAGUGAUUUGACAUCAUUUCAAUCACAUUUUUUCAAUAAAAUAAUAUUGCACCCAAAUUUAAAACUUUUCUUUAUUUUUUAACCACACAUUUUUCAUCAAUACACUAUUCAAAAAUGCAUUUUUAGGAAUAUAAUGUCGCUCAAACAAGGGUUUAGGGGGCGUUGUUUCUCAUUUUUAUAAAAAUGAGAAUGAAAAAUAUAGUCAUUAUGGGUUCCAUACAAAAUAUAGAAAUUGAAAUUUGAUGACUUGAUGUGAUGAAUAACGUUCAUAUUUUUCAUUUUAAUGGAGAAAGAAUGGAAAACAAACAGAGCUUUAUAUACACUACUACUUCCAAUAUCCGUUUCUUAGGCUUGAAACUAGAAAAAUAAUUGGUACCUCAUAAGAAAUUAUUUCAAACUGCUACAUAACCUAUGUUGAAAAGAUGAAACUGUAGUGAAUAAAAUUUGGUGGCUCGUAAGAAAUUAAACUAAACGGAGUAGGGUGGAGAACAUGAUUCAUGCUCCGAAUCUUUUUAUUUUAUUUUUACGUUUUACAAUUGAAAUCGUAUUUUAAAAAAUAAUUAAUUAAUAAGACCGUAAAUUGAGAUAUUUUAAUCCCUCGUCUCGUCCCACCUUCCGAAAAUCACUCUAUCAUCUUGUCAUCCCUAAAAUAAAAUGAAAUACAAGAUAAUUCAAAGUAAUAGAUUUAAUUGAAAUUUCUCAAAUAAAAACUCAUAGACACCAUGAGUUGUAGUUAUGUACUCUAUAAUCUUCUGAGCUAAGACACCCAUGGCCCACCCUAGCUUCUUUGGACCAAUUCAUUUAUUAAAGGUUGAAUCCCAACCUUGAGGGCCUUCACCGUCUCGCCUCUAGAGUUUUGUAAGGGAGAUAAAUCGUGAGAUGUACCCCAAUAGGUCAAGGAACAAGAGCUGCCUGUACACUGCACCUACAAAGAGUUCAAUUUCAUAUCUCAGAAAUCGAACCCCCAUACUGCGGCUACCAGUAAGGCGUGAGAUAAUCUCACUCCCGUCCUUUGCAUCACUAGGCUAUACCCGGGGGCUGGACCGAUUCAUUUAUUGAAUUGUAGUUAAGUGUUCUAUAGUUCACAAUGUUAUUAUUUCUGAAAGACCGUGACAAGACUUGAAUUAGGCCUCGACCGAGGGCUUUACUAAACCGGACUAUAAUAUAUUAAUUAUACAUGCAAAUUGUGUAGGGUCCCAAUUGGAAUAUUUAUUCUGGCAGCGGUCCCUUUUUUUAUCCUAUCUAUGAAUGAAUUUAUUCAAUUUCACUUUUAGUUUGGAAGAAGCCGUUGGAGCAUCCUUUCCUCAUGACUUUUUUUUUUUUUUUUUUAAUUAUUCCAGUUUUUAAUUCUUUUUGCUUCAUCAAAAGACUACAUUCAACAACAAUUUUGGAAGACAUCAUUAAUUGAUUCAAAAGCAUGAUCUCUUUGAACAAUUUUUAGUGCAUAUUUUAAGAACAUGUAAUCAUAUAAUCAUCCUGAACAAAAUCUCUCUCUAAUUAUUAAUAUUUUACCAUUUUUUUUCUAAUUUUUAAUGCUAGGGUUUUGAAUUUGAAAUUAAUCGUAUUGUCAUAGAAUAGUUGGUCGAGUUUUCGUCUAUUGUUCGCUAAUGAACAAUUUUGUCAAGUCGGAUGGAGGUGAAAAUCGAGACUUAGUCUGUUACUUCACUUUUGAAAGCUUUCUUUCCAUCUACAAGUAGGAAGGAGGUGAUAUUUUCAAGUCGUCGAUAUGUAAAACAAUCUUUGCCAAUAUUUCACUUGAAUGAUAGAUUUUGCAUCUCUUGUUUCUUCACUCUUUAGUGUUUUUCAAGAUUUAUCGGCCCUACGAUUAAAUUUAAUAUAUCAUUCAUUUGAAUGAGAUCACAUCAUGACUUUAUUUACCCAACAAAAGACGAUAAAAACAACUAAAUCAUGAAAUCAACCAUCACUUCAUUAUAACAUAUCACAUGCAAUCAAUGAAAAUAUGAAAAAAGAGAACUCGAAAGUAACAUUAAAUCAUUCCAUCGUCAAUUUUAUAAUUGAAACAAAAUUCUCGUCCUUUUUCCUUCUGUAAUAAAUUAAUCUCGAAAAAAUAUAAAUAGAAAAAUCUUAAGACUGAAAACUUACAUGGAAUUAUAAGUUGUGUUUCCGAAAAACAAUUUCAGUGUCCAAUCCAAAUCCAUCGACACUCCUAACCUUAACAACUUCUGAUAGUUUGAACAAUUUUAUCAAUGGUUUCACACUGUACAAGUCAUUGGCCGAAUAUUUAUCUGCCCUUCGAGAUAACGCUACGUGUAAAACACAAAUCCCGCCGGGCUUCAACGUCCGUUCGAUCUCUCCGACAAAUUUCUCAGGAUAAAGUGCAUGAUCAAAAACGUUGGAGAAUUCGAAAUCAAAAGUCUCGUCAUCAAACGGCUGAUGAUGAAAGUCACCCUUCAACACCAAUGGAGGGUAAGGCACUAGAUCUAUACCCACAGAGUCAUUUACACCGACCCGUUUUAAUGCAGCCACCUCUUGCCCGACCCGGGCUCCAACACAAAGCGCUUUUGACCCGUUAAACAGUAGUUUUCUCUGCUUUAAACUGUCGAAAAACCCGGAGAAAACUUCAACUUUCCGGUCCCAAUCCCGGGUAGUCCAUAUUUGUCGGAGUUUCGGGUUAAGGGUCUUGUUGAGCUGGCGUUCGAUGUAGACAUCGUAGGAGGAGUAUCCUGGUCGGAUCUUGAGGUCCGGGGAGGAGUUUGUCGGGUCUUUUUUCAAGGUAUGACGUGGGGUUUGUAGAUAGAUAAAGGCUAAGAAAGAUAGAGAGAAGAAGAGAGAAAGGAUGAAGGGCUUGACGAUGAGGGGUAGUUUUGGCAAUU